GCAAUGGGGGGAACCCUGACCGAGCACGCCGCGUGAGUGAAGAAGGUUUUCGGAUCGUAAAGCUCUGUUGUUAAGGAAGAACGUGUGUGAGAGUGGAAAGUUCACACAGUGACGGUACUUAACCAGAAAGAGACGGCUAACUACGUGCCAGCAGCCGCGGUAAUACGUAGGUCCCGAGCGUUGUCCGGAUUUAUUGGGCGUAAAGCGAGCGCAGGCGGUUAGAUAAGUCUGAAGUGAAAGGCAGUGGCUCAACCAUUGUAGGCUUUGGAAACUGUUUAACUUGAGUGCAGAAGGGGAGAGUGGAAUUCCAUGUGUAGCGGUGAAAUGCGUAGAUAUAUGGAGGAACACCGGUGGCGAAAGCGGCUCUCUGGCCUGUAACUGACGCUGAGGCUCGAAAGCGUGGGGAGCGAACAGGAUUAGAUACCCUGGUAGUCCACGCCGUAAACGAUGAGUGCUAGGUGUUAGGUCCUUUCCGGGACUUAGUGCCGCAGCUAACGCAUUAAGCACUCCGCCAGGGGAGUACGACCGCAAGGUUGAAACUCAAAGGAAUUGACGGGGGCCCGCCACAAGCGGUGGAGCAUGUGGUUUAAUUCGAAGCAACGCGAAGAACCUUACC
rnacentral:rRNA from 1 species